UACAGAGGGGGCAAGCGUUGUUCGGAAUUACUGGGCGUAAAGCGUGCGCAGGCGGCUUUGCAAGACAGAUGUGAAAUCCCCGGGCUCAACCUGGGAACUGCAUUUGUGACUGCAUGGCUAGAGUACGGGUAGAGGGGGAUGGAAUUCCGGCGUGUAGCAGUGAAAUGCGUAGAUAUGCGGAGGAACACCGAUGGCGAAGGCAAUCCCCUGGACCUGUACUGACGCUCAUGCACGAAAGCGUGGGGAGCAAACAGG
rnacentral:rRNA from 1 species